GGAUGUGAGGGCGAUCUGGCUGCGACAUCUGUCACCCCAUUGAUCGCCAGGGUUGAUUCGGCUGAUCUGGCUGGCUAGGCGGGUGUCCCCUUCCUCCCUCACCACUCCAUGUGCGUCCCUCCCGAAGCUGCGCGCUCGGUGGAAGAGGACGACCAUCCCAGAUAGAAGGAGUGUACCGUUCUUCGGUCAAGGGUCCAUCAACUCUUCCAUUAAUUCCACAGAGUCAAGUGAAUCUAGUUGUGACAAAUUGU
rnacentral:snRNA from 1 species